rnacentral:rRNA from 1 species
AACGCAAAUUGCACUCCCUGGUAUUCCGGGGAGUAUGCCUGUUUGAGGGUCGUUAGAAUAAAAAUCGAGGCGUCGCUCUUUUUUUAAGGGUGAUCGCGUCGGAAUUGAGCCGUCUUUCAAAUGUUAAUUCAUGUCAAAGUGGCUUAAAAUUCAUCCAUCCGGUACGAUUUAAGCGUAUUUAAGAUCAAUUUUGUUCAAGAACGCGCGAUGACGUACCAUCUCAUGUAGUACGUUUGACUUGGCGUCGUCAGGAUCAUUCGUAUACGAUACUCAAACUUUUGACCUCAAAUCAGGUAAGAAUACCCGCUGAACUUAA